rnacentral:rRNA from 1 species
UACGUAGGGCGCAAGCGUUGUCCGGAAUUAUUGGGCGUAAAGCGCUCGUAGGCGGCUUGUCACGUCGGAUGUGAAAGCCCGGGGCUUAACUCCGGGUCUGCAUUCGAUACGGGCUGGCUAGAGUGUGGUAGGGGAGAUCGGAAUUCCUGGUGUAGCGGUGAAAUGCGCAGAUAUCAGGAGGAACACCGGUGGCGAAGGCGGUUCUCUGGGCCUGUGCUGACGCUGAGGCGCGACAGCGUGGGGAGCAAACAGG